CAGUCGCCGCGGUAAUACGAAGGGGGCUAGCGUUGCUCGGAAUCACUGGGCGUAAAGGGUGCGUAGGCGGGUCUUUAAGUCAGGGGUGAAAUCCUGGAGCUCAACUCCAGAACUGCCUUUGAUACUGAAGAUCUUGAGUUCGGGAGAGGUGAGUGGAACUGCGAGUGUAGAGGUGAAAUUCGUAGAUAUUCGCAAGAACACCAGUGGCGAAGGCGGCUCACUGGCCCGAUACUGACGCUGAGGCACGAAAGCGUGGGGAGCGAACAGGAUUAGAGACCCGCGUAGUCCCUGUCUCUUAUAC
rnacentral:rRNA from 1 species